rnacentral:rRNA from 1 species
AUUGAACGCUGGCGGCAUGCCUUACACAUGCAAGUCGAACGGUAACGGGCCUUCGGGUGCCGACGAGUGGCGAACGGGGGAGUAAUACAUCGGAACGUGCCCGAUCGUGGGGGAUAACGAGGCGAAAGCUUUGCUAAUACCGCAUACGAUCUACGGAUGAAAGCAGGGGACCGCAAGGCCUUGCGCGGGCGGAGCGGCCGAUGGCAGAUUAGGUAGUUGGUGGGAUAAAAGCUUACCAAGCCGACGAUCUGUAGCUGGUCGGAGAGGAUGAUCAGCCACACUGGGACUGAGACACGGCCCAGACUCCUACGGGAGGCAGCAGUGGGGAAUUUUGGACAAUGGGCGCAAGCCUGAUCCAGCCAUGCCGCGUGCAGGAUGAAGGCCUUCGGGUUGUAAACUGCUUUUGUACGGAACGAAAAGCCUUCUUUUAAUACAGGAGGGUCAUGACGGUACCGUAAGAAUAAGCACCGGCUAACUACGUG